rnacentral:rRNA from 1 species
AGUGAACGUUGGCGGUAGGCCUAACACAUGCAAGUCGAACGGCAGCACAGUAAGAGCUUGCUCUUACGGGUGGCGAGUGGCGGACGGGUGAGGAAUACAUCGGAAUCUACUUUUUCGUGGGGGAUAACGUAGGGAAACUUACGCUAAUACCGCAUACGACCUACGGGUGAAAGCAGGGGAUCUUCGGACCUUGCGCGAUUGAAUGAGCCGAUGUCGGAUUAGCUAGUUGGCGGGGUAAAGGCCCACCAAGGCGACGAUCCGUAGCUGGUCUGAGAGGAUGAUCAGCCACACUGGAACUGAGACACGGUCCAGACUCCUACGGGAGGCAGCAGUGGGGAAUAUUGGACAAUGGGCGCAAGCCUGAUCCAGCCAUACCGCGUGGGCGAAGAAGGCCUUCGGGUUGUAAAGCCCUUUUGUUGGGAAAGAAAAGCAGCAGGUUAAUACCCCGCUGUUCUGACGGUACCCAAAGAAUAAGCACCGGCUAACUUCGUG